rnacentral:rRNA from 1 species
UACGGAGGGUGCAAGCGUUAUCCGGAUUCACUGGGUUUAAAGGGUGCGUAGGUGGGUCUGUAAGUCAGUGGUGAAAUCUCCGUGCUUAACAUGGAAACUGCCAUUGAUACUAUAGGUCUUGAAUUAUCUGGAGGUUAGCGGAAUAUGUCAUGUAGCGGUGAAAUGCUUAGAUAUGACAUAGAACACCAAUUGCGAAGGCAGCUGGCUACAGGUACAUUGACACUGAGGCACGAAAGCGUGGGGGAAUCAAACAGG